rnacentral:rRNA from 1 species
AGCAGCCGCGGUAAUUCCAGCUCCAAUAGCGUAUAUUAAAGUUGUUGCAGUUAAAAAGCUCGUAGUUGAAUUUUGGGUUUGGCCGAUUGGUCCGUUCUUGUAACGAGUACUGGUCGGUUGGGCCUCACCGCCUGGUGAUACGUAAUGUCCUUUAUUGGGUGUUGCGAGUAGCCAGGACCUUUACCUUGAAAAAAUUAGAGUGUUUAAAGCAGGCUUAUGCCGGAAUACAUUAGCAUGGAAUAAUAGAAUAGGACGAUGAUUCUAUUUUGUUGGUUUCUAGGAGCAUCGUAAUGAUUAAUAGGGAUAGUUGGGGGCAUUAGUAUUCAAUUGUCAGAGGUGAAAUUCUUGGAUUUAUUGAAGACUAACUACUGCGAAAGCAUUUGCCAAGGAUGUUUUCAUUAAUCAAGAACGAAAGUUAGGGGAUCGAAGACGAUCAGAUACCGUCGUAGUCUUAACCAUAAACUAUGCCGACUAGGGAUCGGGCGAUGUUGUUUCAAUGACUCGCUCGGCACCUUAUG